AGAGUUUGAUCAUGGCUCAGAUUGAACGCUGGCGGCAGGCCUAACACAUGCAAGUCGAACGGCAGCGGGGAGUAGCUUGCUACUCUGCCGGCGAGUGGCGGACGGGUGAGUAAUGCCUGGGGAGCUGCCCAGUCGAGGGGGAUACCAGUUGGAUACGACUGCUAAUACCGCAUACGCCCUGAGGGGGAAAGGUGGGG
rnacentral:rRNA from 1 species